rnacentral:rRNA from 1 species
UACAGAGACGUCGAGCGUUGUUCGGAUUCAUUGGGCGUAAAGGGUGCGUAGGCGGUCGGGUAAGUCGGACGUGAAAUCCCAGAGCUUAACUCUGGAAGGGCAUCCGAAACUACCUGGCUCGAGGACUGGAGGGGAGACUGGAAUUCUCGGUGUAGCGGUGAAAUGCGUAGAUAUCGAGAGGAACACCUGUGGCGAAGGCGGGUCUCUGGACAGUUCCUGACGCUGAGGCACGAAAGCUAGGGUAGCAAACGGG